rnacentral:rRNA from 1 species
GACGAACGCUGGCGGCGCGCUUAAUACAUGCAAGUCGAACGAGAACCUCGGGCUUCGGCCUGAGGGGAGAGUGGCGAACGGGUGCGUAACACGUGAGCAACCUGCCCCGGAGACCGGGAUAACCCGAGGAAACUCGAGCUAAUACCGGAUGUCCUCGCCGGAUCGCAUGAUCCGACGAGGAAAUGGUCUGCCGCUCCGGGAUGGGCUCGCGGCCUAUCAGCUUGUUGGUGAGGUUACGGCUCACCAAGGCGACGACGGGUAGCUGGUCUGAGAGGACGAUCAGCCACACUGGGACUGAGACACGGCCCAGACUCCUACGGGAGGCAGCAGUAGGGAAUCUUGCGCAAUGGGGGAAACCCUGACGCAGCGACGCCGCGUGCGGGAUGAAGGCCUUCGGGUUGUAACCG